rnacentral:rRNA from 1 species
GAUGAACGCUGGCGGCGUGCCUAACACAUGCAAGUCGAGCGCGAUUAAGUGGAGUGAGAACUUCGGUUCAAGUGAAGCUUAUGAAAGCGGCGGACGGGUGAGUAACGCGUGGGUAACCUGCCCCAUACAAAGGGAUAGCCACUGGAAACGGUGAUUAAUACCUUAUAAGUCGGUAGUCUCGCAUGAGACAGCCGACAAAGAUUUAUCGGUAUGGGAUGGACCCGCGUCUGAUUAGCUAGUUGGUGAGGUAACGGCUCACCAAGGCGACGAUCAGUAGCCGACCUGAGAGGGUGAUCGGCCACACUGGAACUGAGACACGGUCCAGACUCCUACGGGAGGCAGCAGUGGGGAAUAUUGCACAAUGGGCGCAAGCCUGAUGCAGCAACGCCGCGUGAGUGAUGAAGGCUUUCGGGUCGUAAAACUCUGUCCUAUGGGAAGAAAAAAUAGACGGUACCAUAGGAGGAAGCCCCGGCUAACUACGUGCCAGCAGCCG